GACGAACGCUGGCGGCGUGCCUAACACAUGCAAGUCGAACGGAGAGGUUAUGAACAAGGCUUCGGCCCAAGGUGAUUAAUUUUCUUAGUGGCGGACGGGUGAGUAACGCGUGAGCAAUCUGCCUUUCAGAGGGGGAUAACGUUCUGAAAAGAACGCUAAUACCGCAUAACGUAUCAUGGUUGGCAUCAACGAGAUACCAAAGGAGCAAUCCGCUGAGAGAUGAGCUCGCGUCUGAUUAGAUAGUUGGUGAGGUAACGGCUCACCAAGUCGACGAUCAGUAGCCGGACUGAGAGGUUGAACGGCCAC
rnacentral:rRNA from 1 species